rnacentral:lncRNA from 1 species
GAGUACAGCAAGUCUGGCUAGAGUUUCUCAAGGGUGUGCCCAUGGGGAUUAGUGGAAAGAGCUCUGUGCUUGGGUUGGGUGGUUUGCCCACUCCACCUUUUAUUCUCCUUGGGUGGUUCAUAGGAAGAGGCCAAGAGAGAGAGAAGGAUGCUGUAUUUAUGGGAAAAGGCUACCAGAAUUUCCAUCCGAGGUUGGUGGUCCAUUCCUCUACCUAUGUGGAAGGCAGGUUCUCCUUGACAAUAGCCAGGUCUGCAUGUGUCUUCCACUCAAUCUACAACGUAUCCACGGAGAGUGACCUUGUACUCAGUACUCAGUACUCCAGCCCCUUGGCUGGAGUUAGCUCUGCCCGCUCCACCCCUGUGCCUUUUCUGGCCCACUUGAAAUUUGAUGUCUUGGGUUGUAGCCUAUUUUUAAGGUUGAGUCUCACUCUUAGACUAUGAGCUCUUGAAAAAUAAUAACUGUGUCUUAUUUGUCUUUGCUCUUCCACUUACAUAUAGGAACUACUAAUGACAUUUAGCAAAUGUCUCUUUAUCUUUUGAUGGAGCAGAGAGAGGUCUGAGGAUGAACUGCUUUCAUCUUCUCGCUGUGUGAUCUUGCACGGGUCCUUUCCUAUCCCUCCUCUGCCACUCUUCUAGGACCGAAGGGGUUCGAGGGUGACCUUUCUGGCCACUUGCAAUUGCUAAGAGUGUAUUGAUUUGAGAAUUAAAGGAACGUGGCUCUUGAAAUGUGUGUGCGGUAGAGGCCAUCCAAAAUAGCUAAUGAAGAAACAUCCUGGGGAUUACGCCAAGUUCACAACGCAUUUUAAUGAGCCGUGAGUGUGUGUGAAUGCGUGUGUCGACCACAUGCACAUUGAUGGCUGUGGCAGGGAGGACGCUGUUUCUGAGAGUAGAGUCCUCACUUCUGAGAAACUUACAGAAGGUGGAACAGAUCACGCCGUAUUUCAUAGCAGCCUAAUUCUGACAUGCAUCUGCAAGCCUCAUAAGUCGUGGUUUGGUCGGUGCUGCCCAUCAAAUCAACUUCCUGAACUUGUUUUCAUCUGAACUCCAAGGCAGCCCAGGCGCGGGGGGAGCGCAAUCGCUCGUGUCUGACUGGCUGCCUCUGAAGUCGUCCGUUACCAGUAGUCUGUUUAGAAGGUGGAUUGUUAAUUGUUUGAUUUUUCUGCCAACAGGAUUCCCUGCAAAUUAGAAUUGUAAUCGCUGUGGGUAUUUCCUGAAUUAAAAGAAAAUAUAUAAUAAAAUAAAUAAAUAUUAGUUGUUUGGUUGUA